CAGUAGCCGCGGUAAUACGAGGGGGGCAAGCGUUGUUCGGAAUUAUUGGGCGUAAAGGGUGCGUAGGCGGUUUGACAAGUCUUGUGUGAAAUCUCUGGGCUCAACCCAGAGUCUGCACGGGAAACUGUCGGGCUAGAGGAUGGGAGAGGUGAGUGGAAUUUCCGGUGUAGCGGUGAAAUGCGUAGAUAUCGGAAGGAACACCUGUGGCGAAAGCGGCUCACUGGACCAUUUCUGACGCUGAUGCACGAAAGCUAGGGGAGCAAACAGGAUUAGAUACCCCCGUAGUCCCUGUCUCUUAUAC
rnacentral:rRNA from 1 species